rnacentral:pre_miRNA from 1 species
AAUAAGUUCAUUUAUAAUUUUUUUUAUUUAACAUUUAAUCAUCCGUUUUAUUUAAAUAUUUUUAUUAUUAGUAUUUUUGUUGUUAUUAGAUGAUAAAACAUGAAUAGUACUUUACGCGCAUUUUGUUACUUUUUCAUAGAAAAUUUAAAUAAGGCGGACGGCCAAACAUUGGACUUAAAAACCCACAAAUAAAUUUAUU